rnacentral:rRNA from 1 species
UACGUAGGGAGCAAGCGUUGUCCGGAAUCAUUGGGUGUAAAGCGCGCGUAGGCGGCCCUGUAAGUCCGUUGUGAAAGUCAAAGGCUCAACCUUUGAAAGCCGAUGGAUACUGCAGGGCUAGAGUCCGGAAGAGGCGAGUGGAAUUCCUGGUGUAGCGGUGGAAUGCGCAGAUAUCAGGAGGAACACCAAUAGCGAAGGCAGCUCGCUGGGACGGUACUGACGCUAAGGCGCGAAAGCGUGGGGAGCGAACAGG